UUUAAUUAUAUGUGCUCUAUUCCAGUCAUGAAGCUACGUAAUUCUCUCAUUGUUUCUUUUCUCCUUCUUCAGCAAGCUCAUGCUGCUAAUUUGGAACAAGCUGCACUUUUGUGAUUACUAUGAUAUUGGGUUGGGACUGCCAGAUUUGGUUCUUUUCAUCUCACAAGGAUUCAAGGGCUAUUCCAACCUGCUGCAGCUUGGAGUGACAUAAUUAUGACAUGGUUGCAAACCAUUGCAAAACCGCUCAUGAGCUUUCAACAUUUGUAAUGAUUGCGAAUUAGCACUAACCCUUCUGCGUUGUAGACAGAUGGGAUUUGACUCUAAAGCAGUCAGUUCCGUGAGAGUUGGCAAUUGGCAUGGACUAGAACUAUUGUGAACUAUUUUUUUAUUUUUCCUUCAACAGGAAGUUAUGAUGAUUCUACUGGUCAUUUGGCAAGCUUGCACUGUACCUUGUGGCUCAAUCUAAAGUGUCCUGCUCACUCAACAUUCAGAGCAUCUAUAUUGUA